rnacentral:tRNA from 1 species
UCCCUGGUGGCUCAGAGGGUAAAGCGUCUGCCUACAAUGCGGGAGACCCGGGUUUGAUCCCUGGGUCGGGAA